UGGAAGGCUGAAGACACUAUCCCGAUUUCCUUUAGUCAGGAGUAAUUGUUAUUGUUUAUUCUAGAAUUGCAAAUUUUAAUUUUCUUUUACAAUCAAACUUCUUAAAGCAUUGUGUCUAUGCCCGAGGCACAAUGGCUAAUUUGUUAGGGGUUUGUCAUUUUCAUAAGCAUAUUCAUAUUCAAUAAAUCAAUGGACUUUUUGCAUUCAAAUAUUGCGCUCUUUAUCUUUCCUGUCAUCUUUCAAACAAGCUAUGUUUCUUGCAC
rnacentral:lncRNA from 1 species